CUGAACCGAUACCUGAGGCAGGCUUUCGAGCCUGAGGGGACAUUCCUGCUUUACGCAGGCGGUUGCACUGAGUGCAUCACCGAUGCCCCGCCAUACCUCAUCCGCUGCCGCUCUGGCGCACGGGUACCGUUCA
rnacentral:ncRNA from 1 species